rnacentral:rRNA from 1 species
GACGAACGCUGGCGGCGCGCCUAACACAUGCAAGUCGAACGAGCGAGAGAGAGCUUGCUUUCUUGAGCGAGUGGCGAACGGGUGAGUAACGCGUGAGGAACCUGCCUCAAAGAGGGGGACAACAGUUGGAAACGACUGCUAAUACCGCAUAAGCCCACGGUGCCGCAUGGCACAGAGGGAAAAGGAGCAAUCCGCUUUGAGAUGGCCUCGCGUCCGAUUAGCUAGUUGGUGAGGUAACGGCCCACCAAGGCGACGAUCGGUAGCCGGACUGAGAGGUUGAACGGCCACAUUGGGACUGAGACACGGCCCAGACUCCUACGGGAGGCAGCAGUGGGGAAUAUUGCACAAUGGGGGAAGCCCUGAUGCAGCGACGCCGCGUGGAGGAAGAAGGUCUUCGGAUUGUAAACUCCUGUUGUUGGGGAAGAUAAUGACGGUACCCAACAAGGAAGAGACGGCUAACUACGUG